UUUGUAUUACAAGCGGAAAUUGUUACCAUUUUCGGCUCAAAAAUGGUAACAAUUUCCGCACGUAAUACAAA
rnacentral:miRNA from 1 species